rnacentral:rRNA from 1 species
GAUGAACGCUGGCGGCGUGCCUAAUACAUGCAAGUCGAGCGAACGGACGAGAAGCUUGCUUCUCUGAUGUUAGCGGCGGACGGGUGAGUAACACGUGGAUAACCUACCUAUAAGACUGGGAUAACUUCGGGAAACCGGAGCUAAUACCGGAUAAUAUUUUGAACCGCAUGGUUCAAAAGCGAAAGACGGUCUUGCUGUCACUUAUAGAUGGAUCCGCGCUGCAUUAGCUAGUUGGUAAGGUAACGGCUUACCAAGGCAACGAUGCAUAGCCGACCUGAGAGGGUGAUCGGCCACACUGGAACUGGGACACGGUCCAGACUCCUACGGGAGGCAGCAGUAGGGAAUCUUCCGCAAUGGGCGAAAGCCUGACGGAGCAACGCCGCGUGAGUGAUGAAGGUCUUCGGAUCGUAAAACUCUGUUAUUAGGGAAGAACAUAUGUGUAAGUAACUGUGCACAUCUCGACGGUACCUAAUCAGAAAGCCACGGCUAACUACGUG